rnacentral:rRNA from 1 species
GAUGAACGCUGGCGGCGUGCCUAAUACAUGCAAGUCGAGCGAACAGACGAGGAGCUUGCUCCUCUGACGUUAGCGGCGGACGGGUGAGUAACACGUGGAUAACCUACCUAUAAGACUGGGAUAACUUCGGGAAACCGGAGCUAAUACCGGAUAAUAUAUUGAACCGCAUGGUUCAAUAGUGAAAUACGGUUUUGCUGUCACUUAUAGAUGGAUCCGCGCCGCAUUAGCUAGUUGGUAAGGUAACGGCUUACCAAGGCAACGAUGCGUAGCCGACCUGAGAGGGUGAUCGGCCCCACUGGAACGGAGACACGGUCCAGACUCCUACGGGAGGCAGCAGUAGGAAAUCUUCCGCAAUGGGCGAAAGCCUGACGGAGCAACGCCGCGUGAGUGAUGAAGGUCUUCGGAUCGUAAAACUCUGUUAUUAGGGAAGAACAAAUGUGUAAGUAACUAUGCACGUCUUGACGGUACCUAAUCAGAAAGCCACGGCUAACUACGUG